UACGUAGGGUGCGAGCGUUAAUCGGAAUUACUGGGCGUAAAGCGUGCGCAGGCGGUUUUGUAAGCCAGGUGUGAAAUCCCCGGGCUCAACCUGGGAAUGGCAUUUGGGACUGCAAGGCUGGAGUGUGGCAGAGGAGACUGGAAUUCCUGGUGUAGCAGUGAAAUGCGUAGAUAUCAGGAGGAAUACCGAUGGCGAAGGCAGGUCUCUG
rnacentral:rRNA from 1 species